rnacentral:rRNA from 1 species
UACAGAGGUGGCAAGCAUUGUUCGGAAUUACUGGGCGUAAAGGGCUCGUAGGCGGCCAACUAAGUCAGACGUGAAAUCCCUCGGCUUAACCGGGGAACUGCGUCUGAUACUGGAUGGCUUGAGUUUGGGAGAGGGAUGCGGAAUUCCAGGUGUAGCGGUGAAAUGCGUAGAUAUCUGGAGGAACACCGAUAGCGAAGGCAGCUUACUAAGGAGUAACUGACGCUGAGGCACGAAAGUGUGGGGAUCAAACAGG